ACGCUCGACACCUAGGAGGCAGCAGUGGGGAAUAUUGCACAAUGGGGGAAACCCUGAUGCAGCGACGCCGCGUGAAGGAUGAAGUAUUUCGGUAUGUAAACUUCUAUCAGCAGGGAAGAAAGUGACGGUACCUGACUAAGAAGCCCCGGCUAACUACGUGCCAGAAGCCGCGGUAAUCUGAGCGGGCUGGCAAGGC
rnacentral:rRNA from 1 species